GCUAACGUGGCUCAGUCGGUAGAGCAAUUGAUUCGUAAUCAAUAGGUCGCGGGUUCGAUUCCCGCCGUUAGCUCCA
rnacentral:tRNA from 1 species